UGAGCGAGCGAGGGGAUGAGGGCGGGGUGGGGAGGAGACCACAGAUUGGAUUUGGGUGGGGAAAAGGGGUGAGGCCGACCGGACUCAGGAGAGGCUGGGAGGAUAAAAGCGAUGACAGGCUCUAGUGACUUCUCUUCCCCCCCCCCCUCCGGCCGCUCUUCAACGCUUCAAAAGGGGUGAAGCCUCUUCCUUCCACCUCCGGGAGCCAUGUUGCCUCGUCUUCUCUAUGGUGGAAAUGGUGCAUACUUGGACCUGGUGGCUGAUAAUGGUGUGCUCCUCUCCUUUCCUAAAAGGGAAUUUUGAUCGUGGUUAAUCUAUUUCUGUAUUUCUCAUGUUAGAUCUAUUGGUGGCAGUUAAGUUUACUAAAGGUUGCAGGAUCAAGAGGAGCCACAUUUAGGUUGUCACUGAAGUAGAUGAGGAAGGGGCAUAUCUAUGCCAUGCCAUUGCUUCUGGAUGCAGAAGUUGCAUGUGACUUGCAUUUAUCCGUGGAUUCUGUUAGCACCCCUUUUCUACCACCUUCUCUACCUUAUCCUCAUGGUUGCAGCAGGAGCCAUCCUUUAUGUACCUUCACAGAGAAUUUGGGAUUGAGCUGGAGAGAUGAAAAAUCCUGGCUGCAUUCAAGCACCUGAUUUAUUUGUUCCUAAGGCCCAUCUGCAUUAUCCCUGGGUUUUGUGAGACAACACCAUCUUUAUAAUAAAUCCCUCUUUUUGUUUAAGC